rnacentral:rRNA from 1 species
CAACUCUCAACAACGGAUAUCUUGGCUCCUCGAAUGAUGAAGAACGCAGCGAAAUGCGAUACUUAGUGUGAAUUGCAGAAAUACGUGAAUCAUCAAGUCUUUGAACGCAAAUUGCGCUCGAGGCUUCGGCCAAGAGCAUGUCUGCCUCAGCGUCGGGUU